AAUGGAGGGAACUCUGAACCAGCCAUGCCGCGUGCAGGAUGAAAGCCCUCUGGGUUGUAAACUGCUUUUAACAGGGAAGAAAAUGCUAUACGCGAUAUAGUACUGACGGUACCUGAGGAAUAAGCACCGGCUAACUCCGUGCCAGCAGCCGCGGUAAUACGGAGGGUGCAAGCGUUAUCCGGAAUCACUGGGUUUAAAGGGUGCGUAGGCGGUUUUAUAAGUCAGUGGUAAAAGGUUGUAGCUCAACUAUAAGAGGUCCAUUGAUACUGUAAGACUUGAAUCGAGUUGAGGUUGGCGGAAUGAGACAUGUAGCGGUGAAAUGCUUAGAUAUGUCAUAGAACACCAAUUGCGAAGGCAGCUGACUAGACUUAGAUUGACGCUGAGGCACGAAAGUGUGGGUAGCGAA
rnacentral:rRNA from 1 species